UGAAGUAGGUCCCAAGGGUAUGGCUGUUCGCCAUUUAAAGUGGUACGCGAGCUGGGUUUAGAACGUCGUGAGACAGUUCGGUCCCUAUCUGCCGUGGGCGCUGGAGAAGUUGAGGGGGGGCUGCUCCUAGUACGAGAGGACCGGAGUGGACGCAUCACUGGUGUUCGGGUUGUCAUGCCAAUGGCACUGCCCGGUAGCUAAAUGCGGAAGAGAUAAGUGCUGAAAGCAUCUAAGCACGAAACUUGCCCCGAGAUGAGUUCUCCCUGAGACUAUAAGUCUCCUGAAGGAACGUUGAAGACGACGACGUUGAUAGGCCGGGUGUGUAAGCGCAGCGAUGCGUUGAGCUAACCGGUACUAAUGAACCGUGAGGCUUAACCUUAC
rnacentral:rRNA from 1 species